AAGACUGGGAUAACUCCGGGAAACCGGGGCUAUACCGGAUAACAUUUUGAACCGCAUGGUUCGAAAUUGAAAGGCGGCUUCGGCUGUCACUUAUGGAUGGACCCGCGUCGCAUUAGCUAGUUGGUGAGGUAACGGCUCACCAAGGCAACGAUGCGUAGCCGACCUGAGAGGGUGAUCGGCCACACUGGGACUGAGACACGGCCCAGACUCCUACGGGAGGCAGCAGUAGGGAAUCUUCCGCAAUGGACGAAAGUCUGACGGAGCAACGCCGCGUGAGUGAUGAAGGCUUUCGGGUCGUAAAACUCUGUUGUUAGGGAAGAACAAGUGCUAGUUGAAUAAGCUGGCACCUUGACGGUACCUAACCAGAAAGCCACGGCUAACUACGUGCCAGCAGCCGCGGUAAUACGUAGGUGGCAAGCGUUAUCCGGAAUUAUUGGGCGUAAAGCGCGCGCAGGUGGUUUCUUAAGUCUGAUGUGAAAGCCCACGGCUCAACCGUGGAGGGUCAUUGGAAACUGGGAGACUUGAGUGCAGAAGAGGAAAGUGGAAUUCCAUGUGUGCGGUGAAAUGCGUAAGAUAUGGAGGAACACCAGUGGCGAAGGCGACUUUCUGGUCUGUAACUGACACUGAGGCGCGAAAAGCGUGGGGGAGCUAACAGGAUUAUACCCUGGUAGUUCCCCGCCGU
rnacentral:rRNA from 2 species